GCAGGCUUGGCAGAGGCAGGGCCACUGUACAGGUUAAUCUAGCACCAGCUAGCAUGACAAACAGGUACAUGAUCAGAUACAUGAGUAUGACAAUUAAUGCACUUACGUUGGGCAGAGCGCCUCUUAAAGAACAGCAGUGCAGCAAGGAGUCCAAUGAUCAGAGAGCCUAUGACUGCAACCGGGGCUAGCCAUUUGGUGGUGGAGACAAUAUCCAAGUGGUCACUUUUAAUACCUGGACAGACAAAAUGGACAGAAAUUAGGAGUUACAAAAUAAAUAGGCAAUUCAUAUGAAGUCAAGAGAAAAAGUGUCACGACUUCCGCCGAAGUCGGCCCUUCUCCUUGUUCGGGUGGUGUUCGGCGGUCGACGUCACCGGCUUUCUAGUCACUACCGAUCCAUUUUUCUGUUUCGUUUUGUUUCGUCUGAUUACAUACACACAUGUUUUACAUUCCCUCCUUCUGUUCUGUCCGUGAUUGUUUAUGUCGUUGUGUUCGUGUUAGAGUUUUGUUUUAUGUUCCAUUUUGGAAUUUUGCUUUAUUCUUUAAGUAAAUUCAGUUGGAUUACUCCAUACCUGCGCCUGACUCCGCUUUCACUCUGCACCCAAUCGCUGACAGAAUCACGGACCAUUCAAAUGGAAUCAGCAGGUACAGCCAGCCCUUCUCUCCCAGUAGAGGAGCGAGUUCAGCAGCACGCGACCAUGUUAAACCGGCUAGGGCCAGCCAUGGAUCGCAUGUUGUAAACUAUGGACAGAUGGGAGAGGAGGCUUUCCUGUCAACGCUACUACACCUCCACCCGCGCCUCAACCUACACCGAUGUCCACCCCUCUGUCGUCAAGUCCCCGUGGAAUUCAGGCUCUUGCUCACAGGAGCCAGGGUAUCCUACUCCAGCUGGAGCUCUACCUGGCAGCUCUUCAGCCGGCACCUUCCGGACGUGAGAGAGUGGGCGCUCUCAUCUCCUGCCUGACUGGAAAAGCCCUGGAGUGGGCCAACGCCAUCUGGGGAAGGGAAGGUCCGACUCUGGAUGACUAUGAGGACUUCUCCCUCCGCUUCCAUCUGGGGAAGAGAAGGACCGACUCUGGAUGACUAUGAGGUCUUCUCCCUCCGCUUCCAUCUGGGGAAGGGAAGGACCGACUCUGGAUGACUAUGAGGACUUCUCCCUCCGCUUCCAUCUGGGGAAGGGAAGGACCGACUCUGGAUGACUAUGAGGUCUUCUCCCUCCGCUUCCAUCUGGGGAAGGGAAGGACCGACUCUGGAUGACUAUGAGGACUUCUCCCUCCGCUUCCAUCUGGGGAAGAGAAGGACCGACUCUGGAUGACUAUGAGGUCUUCUCCCUCCGCUUCCAUCUGGGGAAGGGAAGGACCGACUCUGGAUGACUAUGAGGACUUCUCCCUCCGCUUCCAUCUGGGGAAGGGAAGGUCCGACUCUGGAUGACUACGAGGACUUCUCCCUCCGCUUCCAUCUGGGGAAGGGAAGGUCCGACUCUGGAUGACUAUGAGGAUUUCUCCAUCCGCUUCCAUCUGGGGAAGGGAAGGUCCGACUCUGGAUGACUAUGAGGACUUCUCCCUCCGCUUCCAUCUGGGGAAGGGAAGGUCCGACUCUGGAUGACUACAGGACUUCUCCCGCCGCUUCCAUCUGGGGAAGGGAAGGACCGACUCUGGAUGACUAUGAGGACUUCUCCCUUUGUUUCAUCUAAGAGUUUGUUUCAUCUAAGAAAGGAGAUGAGGAGCGCUCAAGAGUUCGCACUGGACUUCCGCACUGGACUCUGGCAGCUGGUGCGGGAUGGAAUGAGCGGGCCCUGAUCGACCACUACAGGUGUAGUUUACGUGAGGACGUUCGAAUGGAGCUAGCCUGCAGGGACACUACUCUCAACCUGGACCAGCUGGUGGACUUGUCUAUCCGGCUGGAUAACCUGUUGGCCUCCCGUGGACGUCUGGAUUGGGGUCCGCCCGUUCCAUUACCCAGCACAUUGGAUCCCACACCUAUGGAGCUACGAGGGGGACCGGAGGGGGGACCAUUCCCUGCACCAGCUGUGGCCGCAGAGGGCACACUGCUGGUCGGUGCUGAGGGGGUUCUCCAGGAGGUCGAGGUAGCAGGCGGAGCACUGGUGGGUCAUCCCAGGUGAGUAGGCACACAACUCACCCAAAGCCCCCUGUUGCACACAUGUGGUUACCUGUAGAAUUUCCUGAGUUCUCCCCACAUUCCCAGCAUAAGGAGCUAGUAGAUUCAGGCGCAGCUGGGAACUUUAUUGACCGCUCCUUAGCACAUAGAUUAGGGAUCCCUAUUGUUCCUGUUGAUGUUCCUUUCCCUGUACAUGCCUUAGAUAGUCGUCCUUUGGGGUCAGGGCUAAUUGGCGAGGGGAUUGUGCGAUAGAUCUCUUGGUAGAUGCUGCACAUCCCAGGAGUCAUGUGUAUCCUCUGUCACAGGAGGAGACGGUGGCUAUGGAGACAUAUGUCACCGAAUCUCUGGGACAGGGAUACAUUCAACCUUCCAUCUCACCUGUCUCCUCAAGUUUAUUUUUUGUGAAGGAUGGAGGUUUGCGCCUGUGUAUUGAUUAUCGAGGUUUAAAUAAGAUCACGGUAAAAUACAGUUACCAGCUAACGCUCAUAGCCAG
ensembl:lncRNA